GACGAACGCUGGCGGCGUGGAUUAGGCAUGCAAGUCGAACGGUAUCAUCCUUUCGGGGGUGAGAGAGUGGCGAACUGGUGAGUAACACGUAGGUUAUCUACCCUCAAGACGGGGACAACCCAGGGAAACUUGGGCUAAUACCGGAUGUGAGCAACUUUUAGUUGUUUGAAAGGUGGCGUAAGCUGUCGCUUGGGGAUGAGCCUGCGUCCUAUUAGUUAGUUGGUGAGGUAACGGCUCACCUAGGCAAUGAUAGGUAGGCGGCCUUAACGGGUGGUCGCCCACACUGGGAUUGAGAUACGGCCCAGACUCCUACGGGAGGCAGCAGUCGAGAAUAGUCUACAAUGGUCGGAAGACUGAUAGUGCGACGCCGCGUGAACGAUGAAUCCCUUCGGGGUGUAAAGUUCUUUUAUAUGUGAGCAGUGCUUCUUAUAUUAACAGUUAUGGGGAGAGAGAUAUUAGCAUAUGAAUAAGCAACGGCUAACUCCGUGCCAGCAGCCGCGGUAAACUCGU
rnacentral:rRNA from 1 species